GUAGGGGAGUAGGGUCCAGCUGCAGCCCCGGAGAACAACACCCUGGCGUGACAACAACCCUGGCGUGACGGAAGUACUCUGGCGUGACGGAAAUGAUUUUUUUUAUACCAAAGAUGAACCAUGGAAGUAAGUGUGUCUGCCAAUAUGCUUAAUAUAGCCUAUUGAGUAAUAUUCAUGUAAAAGUCGUGCCGUGGUUUAUUUACUUUUCGCUAAAUUCGAAUAUAAUAAUACUGCGCCCUUUUUGAAAAAUUAGCUGCACUUCGUUCAUGGAGGUAAGUGAGAGUUCCUGUUCAUAAUAAUUAAUAUAUUGAGUACAAUUCAUGUUAAAGCCGUGCUGUGGUUUAUUUAGUGUCAUCCGUAAUCACCAAUGUGAUACUACAGCAACACGAUUUAGCAAAACUGUCAUGCGUUUUUUAUUGUCUAACUUUUAAGGAAUAAAUCGUUUUUAGAGUUUUUUCUAAUAUUAUGUUCUACCUUCAUGUUUCAUGGACUUCCACCACAGGUAUAUGGGAACGACUGUGGGAUCUUCAUGAUUAUGGUAUACUCCAGUGGCGGCUGGCGAUCAAACAUGUUGGUGGGACACAGUAAUACAGGGGGUCUGAGGGGGUCUACUUUUCAUUCAGAUUCAUAGCCUACAUCCUGACUUGCAGGGCCUGGGCAAGCUUACACUGCAUAUACAGACCUAUACCCAUAUUAUACAUAGAUAUCUAUAUCAUAUAAUCUAUAAUAUAUAUUAUCACCUGGCCCUGAGCAGCUUGUAGCCACGGCCUGGCGUGACAACAACCCUGGCGCGACGGAAGUACUCUGGCGUGACGGAAGUGAUUUUUUUUAUACCAAAGAUGAACCAUGGAAGUAAGUGUGUCUGCCAAUAUGCUUAAUAUAGCCUAUUGAGUAAUAUUCAUGUAAAAGUCGUGCCGUGGUUUAUUUACUUUUCGCUAAAUUCGAAUAUAAUAAUACUGCGCCCUUUUUGAAAAAUUAGCUGCACUUCGUUCAUGGAGGUAAGUGAGAGUUCCUGUUCAUAAUAAUUAAUAUAUUGAGUACAAUUCAUGUUAAAGCCGUGCUGUGGUUUAUUUAGUGUCAUCCGUAAUCACCAAUGUGAUACUACAGCAACACGAUUUAGCAAAACUGUCAUGCGUUUUUUAUUGUCUAACUUUUAAGGAAUAAAUCGUUUUUAGAGUUUUUUCUAAUAUUAUGUUCUACCUUCAUGUUUCAUGGACUUCCACCACAGGUAUAUGGGAACGACUGUGGGAUCUUCAUGAUUAUGGUAUACUCCAGUGGCGGCUGGCGAUCAAACAUGUUGGUGGGACACAGUAAUACAGGGGGUCUGAGGGGGUCUACUUUUCAUUCAGAUUCAUAGCCUACAUCCUGACUUGCAGGGCCUGGGCAAGCUUACACUGCAUAUACAGACCUAUACCCAUAUUAUACAUAGAUAUCUAUAUCAUAUAAUCUAUAAUAUAUAUUAUCACCUGGCCCUGAGCAGCUUGUAGCCACGGCCUGGCGUGACAACAGCCCUGGCGCGACGGAAGUACUCUGGCGUGACGGAAGUGAUUUUUUUUAUACCAAAGAUGAACCAUGGAAUUUGCAAUAGUAUCCAGCUGCAGCCCCGGAGAACAUCACCCUGGCGUGACAGAACAUCCAGGCGGGACGGAAGUACUGUGGCUGGACGGAAGUUACCUCCGAUUAUUUUAAAUCUGAUGAAUUUAACCACGGGUCGAACCAAUGAUGAAAGUCUUCAACAGCAGAUGAAACAGGACAUGAAACAGUACAUUUGUUACGAAUGAGAUCAAUCUUAUUUUAGAUUUCUGUUGCCUACUGUAAAACCGAAGAGAUCAGUCGGAGUCAAUUGCGAAUCCGAUAAAGUUGGAUGGAAGCCAAUGAGUUGGAUGACACCUAGGAUAAUCCCUCAAACCAGAAAUCUAUGAACAAGAUAUGCAUUGAAGUAGAAACAUCUAUUUCCCUGUGAUAUCAAAGAUGUUUUUCCACUUUGAUUUGGCUACCGUUUCUGGGCGAUGUGAUGUUUAUAAUGAAAGACCAGUUCAAAUAGGAUUUCUGUCAUUGUUUUAUAUAUAUGAUCUCUAGAUUGUCUGCGGGAUUUCAUUCACAGCGCUACGCAUGUGACACUUGAUAUGAAAUGGCUCGAGAUAAAAUAUUGCCCUUCCUAGACCUUCAAAGGAAUUGAAAGAGAUUACGCAGAGGUAUAUGAAAAUUUGCCUGUUUUACCCAGAUUGAGACGAUUUGUUCAAUCCCAAAUUCAUCAUUGUGCGCCAAGAAGGGGAAUUCCCCGGGUUAGCAUUUGCUUUCGACAGCCGCAUCUAUUGAUUUGCAGAGUUAUAGUAUCCUUGCUCUAUCUUACUUGAAACAAAAAUCAGCAGGAUUUGAACAGUGGUGCAGUGGAGAGCACUGUUGGAUAGCACUCUGGAGACCAGGGUUCAAUUCCUGUUUAAAGUAUAAUUAACUAAAGGGUAAGUCUAUAAAGUCUGUAAUGAUAUUUCUAUUGAACUGAUUGAUA